UGGUCAUUACCAAGGCUUUGAGAAAUUCAGUUUCUCAUUUGCUGUGGACAUGACCAUAAAAAAAUUCCCAUUAGGUUUUUCCAUGUGCUACUUGUUUAGCUGUUAACCUGUUGGGGACAUCU